GAACGCUGGCGGCGUGCUUAACACAUGCAAGUCGAACGCGAAAGGGGACUUCGGUCCUGAGUAAAGUGGCGCACGGGUGAGUAACGCGUGGAUAAUCUGCCCUUAUGAUCGGGAUAACAGUUGGAAACGGCUGCUAAUACCGGAUACGCUCAAAAUGAACUUUUUGAGGAAAGAUGGCCUCUGCUUGCAUGCUAUCACGUAAGGAUGAGUCCGCGUCCCAUUAGCUUGUUGGCGGGGUAACGGCCCACCAAGGCAACGAUGGGUAGCCGAUUUGAGAGGAUGAUCGGCCACACUGGAACUGAAACACGGUCCAGACUCCUACGGGAGGCAGCAGUGGGGAAUAUUGCGCAAUGGGCGAAAGCCUGACGCAGCGACGCCGCGUGAGGGAUUGAAGGUUUUCGGAUCGUAAACCUCUGUCAGAAGGGAAGAAACUACGUUGUGCUAAUCAGCAGCGUACUGACGGUACCUUCAAAGGAAGCACCGGCUAACUCCGUGCCAGCCGCAGC
rnacentral:rRNA from 1 species